CCCGGCGUUCCAUGAAUGCAGCCUCUCUAGACGACACGCACAGGAGCAGUAACAAUCUGCCUUGUUUCGUAAACAGAUGAUAUUAUUAUAUACCAAAGAAGGUUUUCGACAGUAAACGAAGAAUCCAAUAUGGCUUGGGCUGAACCCUUGGAUUUUGGUACGCAGGUUUCUUGGCCAGAUGGAACUGUUAUUGGUAAUAAUCCAGCAAGAAGGAAUGCAGACAGUAACAGCAGUAGUACAAAUGGAAACCAGAUGAGGACCUUUAUAGCGGAUCUUGCACCUCAUCUGCCAAAUGUGGUGUUGUUUGGAGUUGUACUUUCAAAACAGUCCCCCAGAUCUGUUGUCAGUAGAAAGUACCCAAACACUCAGAGGUACGUGUUCAGUUUUGUGCUGAGAGAUUCCGUCACAGACUUUAUCAACAUCUCAUGUUGGGGAGCUGGAGGCUUCAUCAAAGAAUUGGCAAAUAGUUUCAAAAUUGCAGACAUUGUGGUAGUGAAAAAUCCUUUGAUACAGGCCAAGCAGAGCUCAGAUUUUGAAGCUGAGGACAGGUUUAAGCCAUCGACUAGCAGUUCAUUUCAGUUAUCUCUGAGUGAAAACCACUCAUCCAUCCAACUUUACACCGGUAGUGAUGUGGACCAGUUCCAGAGUCUUCUGCAUCAGCCAAUCAAGGAGGGAAAUGACUACUACACUCUUGAGGAUGUCAUUGCGAAUGGACAAGAGCUUAGUGGACAACACAUUAAUUUGCUGGUACUAGUGAAGAGUGUUGGGAAUGUUAAAGAUAUUGUAACCAAAGACGGACGGAACAUCCAUCGCUGUGAGGUCAAAGUGUUUGAUGAUACUUAUCUAAAUUUCUCCAUCAUUAUGUGGGAUAUUUCAGUGAUUGAACAGACUUACACCUGGGUAUCAAAGGAUACAGUUCUUUUUUUCGCCGAUGUCCUCAUCAAGUUUGACAAUUUUAGGAUGUGUAUGACAGCCACAGUGGAUAGCAAGACAAUUAUCAUCACAAAUCCUGAUAGCCCCGAAGCUCACUCUCUGUAUCGGUAUGGUCAGGGCUGUUCAGACAGCAUUCUGAAUGAUCCAGACAACCAACCCAGUGAUGACUUGGAUCUAUCAACAAUUCAGGACGUGUACACUAUCCACCAACUGAACCAGAGAUGUGAAGAAGUGAAAAGCGGAAAACAACAGGCAGUUGUAUAUGGCAUUGUGUAUGCUGCCCUCACAUGCUUCAAUCUCGAUGGUCCUCUGCAUACUGUUAUAUCCUACCGCUGUGCAUCUUGUAAACGGCGAGUCAACCGUCAAACUGGUCUUUGUAGCAAUACCGAAUGUACCGUAGAUACCUCCGAUGACUCGCCAGUACCAGUAUUUGAUAUGAACCUUGCCAUAUCCGAUCACACCGGUACUAUCGAUAGCUGUCGACUGGGGGGCUCUGUAGCUGAACGCGUUUUGGAAUGCACGAUAACACUCCUUGCUUGACUGCCAACUCGUCAUUUCUUACGAUUGCGAUCAACUAAAUUAUCGUUGCUAGGCAGCGGACUUCUGCAUGAUGGAUGACGAAGAAAAAACGGAGAAGAAAUGGAAAUAUUUGCUGGAAAUGUGCAAGGUUUUCUUCAAGCUAAGCCCAGCUAUGCGGGACUCAGGUCUGGUGGUGAUGAUUCGAGUUUUGUCCUGCUCCAG
rnacentral:misc_RNA from 1 species